rnacentral:rRNA from 1 species
AGUACAGCGGCGGACGGGUGAGUAACACGUGGGCAACCUGCCCUAGGGAGCGGGACAACCCGAGGAAACUCGGGCUAAUACCGCAUGUCCCCCUUGGUCAUAAGACCUUGGGGAAAAGGUAGCUUCGGCCUCCGCCCUUGGAUGGGCCCGCGGCGCAUUAGCUUGUUGGUGGGGUAACGGCCUACCAAGGCAACGAUGCGUAGCUGGUAUGAGAGGACGAUCAGCCACACUGGGACCGAGACACGGCCCAG